UUUGACUCAACCACGGGGAAAACUUACCCAGGUCCAGGACCUUUGGGAGGAUGGACAGAUUGAGAGCUCUUUCUUGAUUACAGUGAGUGGUNGGUGCAUGGCCGUUCUUAGUUGGUGGAGUGAUUUGUCUGGUUAAUUCCGAUAACGAACGAGACCUCAUCCUGCUAAAUAUGUGGAUUUGAUAUUGGCUUAAUACACCAAUAUGGAAUAUUACUAGCUUCUUAGAGGGACAAUUCGCCUCGAGCGGGUGGAAGUGAGGCAAUAACAGGUCUGUGAUGCCCUUCAGAUGUCCCGGGCCGCACGCGCGCUACACUGACGAAAUCAAUGGGUAAACAAUUUNUAACAAGCCUGACUCGAAGGAGUUGGGGAAACCUUUGAAACUUCGUCGUGAUGGGGAUAGAUCCAUUGUAAUUAUUGGUCUUCAACGAGGAAUUUCCCUAGUAAAGCGUAAGUCAU
rnacentral:rRNA from 1 species